rnacentral:misc_RNA from 1 species
GAUGAAGAACGUAGCGAAAUGCGAUAAGUAGUGUGAAUUGCAGAAUUCAGUGAAUCAUCGAAUCUUUGAACGCACAUUGCGCCCUUUGGUAUUCCUUAGGGCAUGCCUGUUCGAGCGUCAUUGCUGCCCUCAAGCACGGCUUGUGUGUUGGGCCUCCGUCCUCCUCCCGGGGGACGGGCCCGAAAGGCAGCGGCGGCACCGCGUCCGGUCCUCGAGCGUAUGGGGCUUCGUCACCCGCUCUUGUAGGCCCGGCCGGCGCUUGCCGACACAUCAAUCUUUUUUCCAGGUUGACCUCGGAUCAGGUAGGGAUACCCGCUGAACUUAAGCAUAUCAAUAAGCGGAGGA